rnacentral:rRNA from 1 species
AGGAAAUAGAUACCCGGGUAGUCCACGCCGUAAACGAUGAUAACUAGCUGUCCGGGCUCAUGGAGCUUGGGUGGCGCAAGCUAAACGCAUUAAGUUAUCCGCCUGGGGAGUACGGUCGCAAAGAUUAAAAACUCAAAGGAAUUGACGGGGGCCUGCACAAGCGGUGGAGCAUGUGGUUUAAUUACGAAGCAACGCGCAGAACCUUACCAGCCUUUGACAUCCUGGUCGCGGUAGGAGAGAUCCUUCCCUUCAGUUACGGCUGGACCAGUGACAGGUGCUGCAUGGCUGUCGUCAGCUCGUGUCGUGAGAUGUU